rnacentral:rRNA from 1 species
UACGGGGGGGGCAAGCGUUGUUCGGAAUCACUGGGCUUAAAGCGUGUGUAGGCGGGAUGGUAAGUACCUUGUGAAAUCCCACAGCUUAACUGUGGAAAUGCUUGGUAUACUGCCGUUCUUGAGUCACCUAGGGGCAGCUGGAACAGAUGGUGGAGCGGUGAAAUGCAUAGAUAUCAUCUGGAACGCCAAUGGUGCAGACAAGCUGCUGGGGGUGUACUGACGCUGAGGCACGAAAGCCAGGGGAGCAAACGGG